AUGGGGACAGCCCUGUUUAAUCUUUUAAUCAAGAUUAAAAGAGCAAAUAAAGUUUAUGACACUGGAGAGCCUAUCCAGAUUAUCAACAGCACCAUAGAAAUGGUGAAGCCAGGGAAAUCUCUCAGUGGCAAAACAAAUCCCUUUUGAGUUUCCUUUGCACAUGAAGGGUAACAAAGUUCUGUAUGAGACUUAUCAUGGCACGUUUGUCAACAUUCAGUACACACUGUGCUGUGACUCGAGGCAAUCUCUGUUGGCCAAGGACUUGACAAAGACCUGCGAAUUUAUCAUCCACUCUGUUCCUCAGAAGGGGAAGUUGACUCCCAGUCCUGUGACCUUCACGAGUACACCUGAAACCUUACAGAACGUCAAAGAGAGAGCUUUGCUUCCUAAAUUUCUCAUUCGAGGACAACUCAACUCAACAAACUGUGUCAUCAUGCAGCCGCUAAGGGGAGAGCUGGUGGCGGAGAGCCCAGAGGCACCAUCAGAAGCGUGGAGCUGCGGCUGAUGCACGUGGAGACAUGCAGGUGUGCAGAAGGCCAAGUCCGCGAGGCCACGGGGAUUCAGAACAUUCAGAUCACCGACAGUGACGUGUGCAGGGGCCUCUCUGUCCUCAUCUACAUGGUCUUCCCCAAGUUGUUCACCUGCCCUACGCUGGAGACCACCCACUUCCACGUGGAAUUUGAGGAUAACAUCGUGGUGCUUCUCCACCCUGACCACCUCAUCACGGAGAACUUCCCGCUGAACCUCUGCAUGAUACAGCCCAGAGGAGGGAGGCACAGAAAACCAGAGUGGCCAUCUGAAAAUCCGGCUGGUUAUUCAAAUCCUAAGGGGAGCUACAACCAGUGGCAUUUACUUGUUUUUGUGAUUAUUCGGUAUCAAAUAUGCAACGGACCCUCAAAUUAACUCUCCUUCCUCAUUUCUUCGAGGCUUCCGACAGGCGCCUCUACUCAGACCUUUUCUUUGAAAUUCAACACGUUUUCUUAAUGCUAUUUGCAAGAAAAUUUCACAGAAAACACUGACUGUGGCUCCUGCCUUCCCUGUUCCUUUUUAGAUACAGGAAACAAUUGUGACCGCCAUUUGAGCUUUUUUGGAAAGUGGGAUCAUGGGGACAAAAGGGAACCUCUCUCUGAGUUGCUAAUAAAUGUAGCGAGGGACUCCCCACAGCAAAGGGUCUGUGACCAGUUGACAUCCAGGACAGCUGCAAGCAUACUCCAUGGUUAGGAAGCUUGUAGAUAGUCUCCAAGGCAGAGCAUAAAGGGCCAGUCACUGGAAAUGGGUGACUUCCCUCCACCCCCACUCUGUUCUGUAGUUCUUU